UGAAAAACUGAUUCCCAUACAAUCACCAAAGUUAAACAACACCAAGUCUGAUCAGUACUUAGAUGGGUGACCACUUGGGAAUACCAUGUGUAGCAAG